GAUGAACGCUGGCGGCGUGCCUAAUACAUGCAAGUCGAGCGAACGGACGAGAAGCUUGCUUCUCUGAUGUUAGCGGCGGACGGGUGAGUAACACGUGGAUAACCUACCUAUAAGACUGUGAUAACUUCGGGAAACCGGAGCUAAUACCGGAUAAUAUUUUGAACCGCAUGGUUCAAAAGUGAAAGACGGUCUUGCUGUCACUUAUAGAUGGAUCCGCGCUGCAUUAGCUAGUUGGUAAGGUAACGGCUUACCAAGGCAACGAUGCAUAGCCGACCUGAGAGGGUGAUCGGCCACACUGGAACUGAGACACGGUCCAGACUCCUACGGGGGGCAGCAGUAGGGAAUCUUCCGCAAUGGGCGAAAGCCUGACGGAGCAACGCCGCGUGAGUGAUGAAGGUCUUCGGAUCGUAAAACUCUGUUAUUAGGGAAGAACAUAUGUGUAAGUAACUGUGCACAUCUUGACGGUACCUAAUCAGAAAGCCACGGCUAACUACGUG
rnacentral:rRNA from 1 species